rnacentral:rRNA from 1 species
UGAACGCUGGCGGCGUGCCUAAUACAUGCACGUCGAGCGACCAGACGAGGAGCUUGCUCCUCUGACGUUAGCGGCGGACGGGUGAGUAACACGUGGAUAACCUACCUAUAAGACUGGGAUAACUUCGGGAAACCGGAGCUAAUACCGGAUAAUAUAUUGAACCGCAUGGUUCAAUAGUGAAAGACGGUUUUGCUGUCACUUAUAGAUGGAUCCGCGCCGCAUUAGCUAGUUGGUAAGGUAACGGCUUACCAAGGCAACGAUGCGUAGCCGACCUGAGAGGGUGAUCGGCCACACUGGAACUGAGACACGGUCCAGACUCCUACGGGAGGCAGCAGUAGGGAAUCUUCCGCAAUGGGCGAAAGCUUGACGGAGCAACGCCGCGUGAGUGAUGAAGGUCUUCGGAUCGUAAAACUCUGUUAUUAGGGAAGAACAAAUGUGUAAGUAACUAUGCACGUCUUGACGGUACCUAAUCAGAAAGCCACGGCUAACUACGUG